rnacentral:rRNA from 1 species
GUGUCAGCAGCCGCGGUAAAACGUAGGAGGCGAGCGUUAUCCGGAUUCACUGGGCGUAAAGCGCGCGUAGGCGGUUGGUUAAGUCGGAUGUGAAAGCCCCUGGCUCAACUGGGGGAGGCCAUUCGAUACUGGCCGGCUUGAGGGUGAGAGAGGAAAGUGGAAUUCCCGGUGUAGCGGUGGAAUGCGUAGAGAUCGGGAGGAACACCAGUGGCGAAGGCGGCUUUCUGGCUCACCCCUGACGCUGAUAGCGCGAAAGCGUGGGGAGCAAACGGGAUUAGAUACCCUUGUAGUCC